rnacentral:rRNA from 1 species
AUGAACGCUGGCGGCGUGCCUAAUACAUGCAAGUCGCGCGAACGGACGAGAAGCUUGCUUCUCUGAUGUUAGCGGCGGACGGGUGAGUAACACGUGGAUAACCUACCUAUAAGACUGGGAUAACUUCGGGAAACCGGAGCUAAUACCGGAUAAUAUUUUGAACCGCAUGGUUCAAAAGUGAAAGACGGUCUUGCUGUCACUUAUAGAUGGAUCCGCGCUGCAUUAGCUAGUUGGUAAGGUAACGGCUUACCAAGGCAACGAUGCAUAGCCGACCUGAGAGGGUGAUCGGCCACACUGGAACUGAGACACGGUCCAGACACCUACGGGAGGCAGCAGUAGGGAAUCUUCCGCAAAGGGCGAAAGCCUGACGGAGCAACGCCGCGUGAGUGAUGAAGGUCUUCGGAUCGUAAAACUCUGUUAUUAGGGAAGAACAUAUGUGUAAGUAACUGUGCACAUCUUGACGGUACCUAAUCAGAAAGCCACGGCUAACUACGUG